CGCCCCCCACCCCGGGCCCCGCCGCGCGCCCGCCGCCGCCGCCGCCGGGCCGUGACCUUCAGGGACCGAGCGCGGAGAGCGGGGCCCCUGAAGGGACAGAGCGCUCUGGUGGCUGUGGAGCCUUUGUUCACCUGUUCUCCAGGUAUGAGCCGAGAGGUUAUGAGAACAUCUCCAUCGUGGGCCACCAGCAGGCCAGGACUCCAAUGUAGAGGGGCGGAUCCCUGGAGGUCACUCCUUGGCCCUUUUCUGGAGACUGCCAGCCAGCAUGCCAUCCCAGCUGCACUGUGGGGGUGAAGGGUGGGGUGAUCAUCAAUGAGGAUGAAGGCCAUCCCCCUGUCACUCAUCUUGCCAAGCCAUUACCAGGCGGUCAGGACUCAUGGGCAGUGUCUCCUCCGGGACCAGUGCUGACAUCUGUAACCUCCAUCCACCCUUGUGGUCCCAUCCAGCCAUCUCUGCCCACCCGCCUGGCCCACUCUGUCGUGAAGUUCUCAUCAGCCUUCCCCUUGUGCCUAGUCGUAACUCACAGGGACUCCAACGCCCGUAGGGCAGACCAUCGGAAGUGUCACCUCUUAUUCCCGGCUAGAGACGUCCAGAGGACAAUCAGCUUCAGAUUAUACCACCGAUAAGGUAGGCACAAUGGGGGCCUGACCCAUGUCAUCUCGGAAGCAAUCCAGUGCUUUCUGGCCUUCUCCUGUUUGCAGAGCAAACGCUCUGAGGAAGAGACACAAGGAAGACCCCAUCCUCCUUGUGGACAAAUAUUUUUGUUAGUCUGUUGCAAGGAGAAGAAACCGUGUUCUGGAAGAAAUGAAUAACCCCAUAAGACACAGGCGGGGGACUGUGCACGUGGAAUAAGAGAGUUAUGGAACAUUCUAGAAACACACCUAGCAUUAGUUACAUUUGGACUCUCCACAAUGCAUCAGGCACUUUCUCAAUGGCAUCAUGUGGUAAGAGUUGCAUUGCCUUAGUCCAGCCACCACGAAGGACUUUGAGCUCUUUGUCCUCGGCUUUGUUUCAAACCUGAGGGAAACACGAUGACAAUUCAGGGGGGCCCUGCCACGCAGGGCGUGUACGUCUCCAUGAAUGUACUUGGCAGUGUGCAACCCGGCAACGCCCACCCUCCCCCCAUCCUGUCCGUAUGCACCCUGGUGAGCAUUUUAUACACCCUCCUCAAAUGCUACCAUCGUUCUGUCUCGCAGGUGUGAUGUAUGGCGCCCUCCGUGUUGUCCCAUCAUAGCUUCUGCCUCCCCACACGGAGGGAGGCAACAAAGACAAAGCUGAGACGUUAUGGCUAUUCCAGAAAAUAAAAUAUUUUUGAAACUGCA